rnacentral:rRNA from 1 species
CUGAUUCAGCGGCGGACGGGUGAGUAAUGCCUAGGAAUCUGCCCGAUAGUGGGGGACAACGUUUCGAAAGGAACGCUAAUACCGCAUACGUCCUACGGGAGAAAGUGGGGGAUCUUCGGACCUCACGCUAUCGGAUGAGCCUAGGUCGGAUUAGCUAGUUGGUGAGGUAAUGGCUCACCAAGGCGACGAUCCGUAACUGGUCUGAGAGGAUGAUCAGUCACACUGGAACUGAGACACGGUCCAGACUCCUACGGGAGGCAGCAGUGGGGAAUGUUGGACAAUGGGCGAAAGCCUGAUCCAGCCAUGCCGCGUGUGUGAAGAAGGUCUUCGGAUUGUAAAGCACUUUAAGUUGGGAGGAAGGGCAGUAAGCUAAUACCUUGCUGUUUUGACGUUACCAACAGAAUAAGCACCGGCUAACUUCGUGCCAGCAGCCGCGGUAAUACGAAGGGUGCAAGCGUUAAUCGGAAUUACUGGGCGUAAAGCGCGCGUAGGUGGUUCAGCAAGUUGGAUGUGAAAUCCCCGGGCUCAACCUGGGAACUGCAUCCAAAACUACUGAGCUAGAGUACGGUAGAGGGUGGUGGAAUUUCCUGUGUAGCGGUG